UACGGGGGGGGCAAGCGUUGUUCGGAAUUACUGGGCGUAAAGGGCUCGUAGGCGGCCAACUAAGUCAGACGUGAAAUCCCUCGGCUUAACCGGGGAACUGCGUCUGAUACUGGAUGGCUUGAGUUUGGGAGAGGGAUGCGGAAUUCCAGGUGUAGCGGUGAAAUGCGUAGAUAUCUGGAGGAACACCGGUGGCGAAGGCGGCAUCCUGGACCAACACUGACGCUGAGGAGCGAAAGCGUGGGGAGCGAAACAGG
rnacentral:rRNA from 1 species